rnacentral:rRNA from 1 species
UACGGAGGAUCCGAGCGUUAUCCGGAUUUAUUGGGUUUAAAGGGUGCGCAGGCGGGAGAUUAAGUCGGCGGUGAAAUUUUGCAGCUCAACUGUAAAAGUGCCUUCGAAACUGGUUUUCUUGAGUGUGGAUGAAGUAGGCGGAAUUUGUGGUGUAGCGGUGAAAUGCAUAGAUAUCACGAUGAACUCCGAUUGCGCAGGCAGCUUACUAAACCAUAACUGACGCUCAGGCACGAAGGCGUGGGGAUCAAACAGGAUUAGAUACCCCGGUA